rnacentral:tRNA from 1 species
GGGAGCGUCGGUUAACUGGUAAACCACUGGUCUCCAAAACCAGGACUGAAGGUUCGAGUCCUUCCGCUCCUGCCA